GGCCCAUGUCUUGAGGGUAUACUCCCUCUCCACCGGCCAAUUCUCUCUCUCAUUUCUCUCCUACAUUCCACAUUUUCCCCCAAAUUCGAAAACCCUAGCUCCCUCAAUCUCCCUCUCUCUUCGUCGACAUCACAGCCCAUCACCACCGCCUCUAUCUCCUGCGAGGGGCGAUCGGUCUCAAGUAGAUUUCUCUCCUUCUCUCGGCGGCAUCACUGCUGCCGCGAUACUAAAUCGCCACCGCCUCUGCACCGGAUUCGGCGAGUCGCUGCCACUGCAUGUUCGCGGUGGUGGAGACGAUGAUCGUGCCUCCAUUGUCGCUUCUCAGAUCGGGGAGUCUUUUGCCUCCAGUGCUGCCGCGUUGCGGGCCCGUUUGCCGGCUCACGAUUCACCACUAUGGGGUUCAUCACGGUCGAACAGCAACAUUGAGUGAGUGCCUCGUUGUCACUGCUCUGCCGUCUCCCUCCGCCGUGCGUGGUGCUUCCCGUCGGGUCGCCGCCGUCUCGCAGUCGGUGCCACCAUUCUCUGACGGAAAAAACCCUUAGCUAAGUCUUCUCCUUAGCUUUUCUAAUUAAGUCUCUUGGCAACGUUACUAAAUUUUCAAGAGCUAAGUCCAUGAUAAAUUGUGAUUUUAGCAUUUUCCUUUGGACUUGCUGUUAGAAUAAAUUCCUAAUUGGAGGAUCUGAUUUGAGUAGAAAAUUCAGGACUUAGCUGAGCCACCACUGUUGUGAAAGUGGAACCUAGCAUGCUCUUGUUACUGUUAUUCUUUGGGUGAAAGCCUUAGUAUGAGCAUGCUUCCUAAGGUUUCUAUGUUGGGUUUUUACUAUGUGAUGACAUGAGAUGCCAACUAGUCUCGAGAGUGAAAGAGGUUACCUUCACUGCUACUGUUAUGUUGCUCUCUGCUCUCUGCUCUUAGCUGCAACCUCCCUCACUUCCCCCUCGGUGAAGUUUGCUGACUGAGUAUGUAGUAGUAUGUAAAAUGGGGCUGAGGAGGGGGUGUUGUGAUAUAUAAAUAGGAGCAUGUGUAACUGAAAGCUGCGAGUCUUGCUGCUUUGGCUGUGGAAAAGGACUCCACAGGCUGUGCAACUGGCUACUCCAUCCGUAGCUCUGCAGAGCAUGUACUCUGAGUCCCUGAUUUCCCCUCUAACUGAUUUUGGUGGUUUGUGGAGAGUACUCGUGAAUUCAUAGGAGUUUUACAACUUCUUUUGUUGCCAUAUUGCAGGCUCUCUCAGUCCUUAACUGCUGCUAUGUACUUACUACAGUCUGUGUGCCCUUUUUGCAGGUAGAGCUGGAGUGAGGGUGGUUAGAAAUGGGGUGCAGAUGCUGCGAUUCUCUUUGCGAUUUGCUGCACUCGGUGCUCAGGCAAAUGGCAGCCUGCCAUCUUUCUCCUUUAAGCAAGUUUGGUCUCCAAACCUUAAAGUAUGAGGGCUAAUCUAUAUAAGUGUUGGCAGCGUCUAUGGCUAGCUGCCGAGGCUGUGUUCCUCGAUGACUCGCCUCUUCGGGCUUUCUGGGAUCUGGGCCGAGACGGCCUAGUGUUGAAGUCCAACGUAGUUGUUAGGGAUUAAUAGCUUAAAUGUAAUAGUGUAGCUCGAAUUUUAUUUUCAUUUUUUAUGUAGACAAGUCUCUGAAAUCUUCAAUAUUUAUUCAUUUCAAGCAUUUGUAAAUUAUUUGCUUGAAAUUCUCUA